rnacentral:tRNA from 1 species
ACUCCUAUAGUGUAGCGGUCAAUCAUCCCGGAUUUUGGUUCCGGGGACGACGGUUCGAGUCCGUCUAGGAGUA